rnacentral:misc_RNA from 1 species
CAACUUAUAAGCCUUUCAUGGGGUCUAUAAGCUUGGACUUGGAGGCCUGUCGGCGGUCAACGUCGGCUCCUCUCAAAUGUAUUAGCUUGGUUCCUUGCGGAUCGGCUCCCGGUGUGAUAAUGUCUACGCUGUGACCGUGAAGCGUUUGGCGAGCUUCUAA